rnacentral:rRNA from 1 species
GAAGAUUAAUACCGCNUAAGAUUGUAGUAUCGCAUGAUAUAGCAAUUAAAGGAGCAAUUCGCUAUAAGAUGGACCCGCGUCGCAUUAGCUAGUUGGUGAGGUAAUGGCUCACCAAGGCGACGAUGCGUAGCCGACCUGAGAGGGUGAUCGGCCACCAUUGGGACUGAGACACGGCCCAGACUCCUACGGGAGGCAGCAUG